AGAAUUCCAGGUGUAGCGGUGAAAUGCGUAGAGAUCUGGAGGAAUAUCGGUGGCGAAGGCGGCCCCCUGGACAAAGACUGACGCUCAGAUGCGAAAGCGUGGGUAGCAAACAGGAUUAGAUACCCUGGUAGUCCACGCCGUAAACGAUGUCUACUUGAAGGUUGGGAUCUUGAAUUCUGGCCUUCGGAGCUAACGCGUUAAGUAGACCGCCUGGGGAGUACGGUCGCAAGAUUAAAACUCAAAUGAAUUGACGGGGGCCCGCACAAGCGGUGGAGCAUGUGGUUUAAUUCGAUGCAACGCGAAGAACCUUACCUACUCUUGACAUCCAGAGAAGCCAGCAGAGAUGCAGGUGUGCCUUCGGGGGYUNUGAGACAGGUGCUGCAUGGCUGUCGUCAGCUCGUGUUGUGAAAUGUUGGGUUAAGUCCCGCAACGAGCGCAACCCUUAUCCUUGUUUGCCAGCACGUAAUGGUGGGAACUCCAGGGAGACUGCCGGUGAUAAACCGGAGGAAGGUGGGGACGACGUCAAGUCAUCAUGGCCCUUACGAGUAGGGCUACACACGUGCUACAAUGGUGCAUACAGAGGGAAGCAAGAGCGCGAGCUGGAGCGGAUCCCAAAAAGUGCAUCGUAGUCCGGAUUGGAGUCUGCAACUCGACUCCAUGAAGUCGGAAUCGCUAGUAAUCGUGGNUCAGAAUNCCACGGUGAAUACGUUCCCGGGCCUUGUACACACCGCCCGUCAUC
rnacentral:rRNA from 1 species